UGGAAAUGCCAGCAGGGUCUUCUCUUUACUCUAUCCGGCCUCUCGCCGUGGGGCUGAGGAGAGAAACUUCAGUAACCAUGGUAACUUGACACCAGGUAAACAGUUAGGGGAAAGAAAAACUGGGGGAGAAAUCACAACUAAAAGAGGGGAAAAGAUAUAUUUCAAGCUAUCAAUUACAACAAGAACAGUCUGAAGGAAGCCAGAAAACCAGGUGUGACAGACAAAGAAGCUGAUCUAGUGGUUGGGGAAGGAGGUGGAGGAAGAGACUGGCUCAGCAACAUCCUGAACUUGGCUCAGAGGAACAGUGGCCUUUCAGAAGCUGUGCUUUUCUAAAACAUCAACAUGUGACUAGCAAGCUGAGAGCUACAAAACAAAUUCAAGACCAGAAGACAAAAAGGCAGCUGAGGUAGUAAUUCUCCUGAAGAAUUAAGACACCGGUGGCUUUGAGGUAUGUUUGUUUUUGGAAAUGUUGUUAAUUAUUUAUUAAUCUUGAUGCCAUAUAUGAGAGUAAUGGUGAAUG
rnacentral:lncRNA from 1 species